UUGCUGCUCUGUCCACUGAGAAGUGGUGCCUCAGUCCCCUCCCCUUGAGUCUGGGCUGGCCACAGGGACCCACUUGACCAGGAGACUGCAGCAGAGAGACACUGCCGGACUGCCGAGGUGGCCGAGAAGCCUCAGUCUCCACCCCGCUCUCUCUCCAGAUGUUCCCUCUCAGGACGUUCACUCUUGCCACCUGCCCACCACACUGUGAGUCGCUCAUUCCCACGGGGAGGCCACGUGCAGGCCCUUGCUGCGGCAGCCCUGGCCGAGCUCCCAGGGUGAGCCAUGUGAGAAAGCCACCGUGCCAAUCUGCUAGGGCUGCCCUCAACACUACCUGCUCUGGGUGGUUUAGGCAACAGAAAUGUAUCAUCUCACAGUUACAGAGCUGGGAAGUCCGAGGUCCGGUUGCCAUGGAGCUGGCUCCUCCCAAGGGCCUGGAGACAGAAGCUGCUCUGUGCCCCUCCCUGGCGUCUGGUGUUUGCUGCCAUCUUUGCUGUCCCUUGGUUUGUAGACACACAUGACUCCAGCCUCCGCCUUCAUCUUCACAUGGCAUUCUGCUGUGUGUGUCUGUGUCUUUCCCCUUUUUAGAUCUUUUCUGCUCAGAGACCCCUCCCUUUGAAGAGAGAGAGAGAGCUGUUUCUCUUCUGCCUGUUAAACCUCCAUUUCUAAAUUCCUCGUGUAUGUCUGUAUCUGAAAUUUUCCUGGUGCAAGACAAUGAACCCCAAGGUGUGUACCCCAGACAAUGUGUCUGCUUCAUAUGGGGACCUCGUCCAGGAUACCAAGGUGUGACAUUUUGAAACGGAAAAGGCAUUUAUUGAACACAGAUGUGGCCAGUCCACACAGGCUGCUCCGUCCUGUGUGUUUGUUCUCCUUGGCAUUCCCUUGUCUGGUGGACACUUCAUUCUUUUGUAAGUUUUUCCUCUGAGGUUCUCUGUCAUUGGAUUAGUAAACACUUGAUUAACUCCGAGCCAAAAAUAAACAGAAGCAAGAACGUAAAUGAUGCUGCAGAUGAAACCAGGCCUGGUGGUCUCAGAGGGCCAUGGAGCCAGCGCAGUGAUGGCCUGAGGGGCUCAGCUUGCACUCUAGCUGGAGAAUACAGCAUUUCCACGGAUGCCUUGCACAGUCCUCGGGAAAUAUCAGCCUCCAUAGGUGCCUUCAACAAAAACCUGUUCCCUUCACCUGGGAAUUCGUAA
rnacentral:lncRNA from 1 species